CCGCAUGUUGCACCCUGGGCUUCUCUGAACAUUGAAAGUUGACGAUGUUAAGUCCCAAUGCUCAUGCUAUACCAUUGCCCUUCGUGUUGCAGUUCGGCUGCGUCAAACAGCUGAUUUGUGUCUAUUCAAUGGCUAAAUUC
rfam:Spinacia oleracea cultivar SynViroflay scaffold5891.con0010.1, whole genome shotgun sequence.